ACCUGCCCCUGACUCUGGGAUAAGCGCUGGAAACGGCGUCUAAUACUGGAUAUGUGACGUGAUCGCAUGGUCUGCGUCUGGAAAGAAUUUCGGUUGGGGAUGGGCUCGCGGCCUAUCAGCUUGUUGGUGAGGUAAUGGCUCACCAAGGCGUCGACGGGUAGCCGGCCUGAGAGGGUGACCGGCCACACUGGGACUGAGACACGGCCCANACUCCUACGGGAGGCAGCAGUGGGGAAUAUUGCACAAUGGGCGCAAGCCUGAUGCAGCAACGCCGCGUGAGGGAUGACGGCCUUCGGGUUGUAAACCUCUUUUAGCAGGGAAGAAGCGAAAGUGACGGUACCUGCAGAAAAAGCGCCGGCUAACUACGUGCCAGCAGCCGCGGUAAUACGUAGGGCGCAAGCGUUAUCCGGAAUUAUUGGGCGUAAAGAGCUCGUAGGCGGUUUGUCGCGUCUGCUGUGAAAUCCGGAGGCUCAACCUCCGGCCUGCAGUGGGUACGGGCAGACUAGAGUGCGGUAGGGGAGAUUGGAAUUCCUGGUGUAGCGGUGGAAUGCGCAGAUAUCAGGAGGAACACCGAUGGCGAAGGCAGAUCUCUGGGCCGUAACUGACGCUGAGGAGCGAAAGGGUGGGGAGCAAACAGGCUUAGAUACCGUGGUAGUCCACCCCGUAAACGUUGGGAACUAGUUGUGGGGUCCAUUCCACGGAUUCCGUGACGCAGCUAACGCAUUAAGUUCCCCGCCUGGGGAGUACGGCCGCAAGGCUAAAACUCAAAGGAAUUGACGGGGACCCGCACAAGCGGCGGAGCAUGCGGAUUAAUUCGAUGCAACGCGAAGAACCUUACCAAGGCUUGACAUAUACGAGAACGGGCCAGAAAUGGUCAACUCUUUGGACACUCGUAAACAGGUGGUGCAUGGUUGUCGUCAGCUCGUGUCGUGAGAUGUUGGGUUAAGUCCCGCAACGAGCGCAACCCUCGUUCUAUGUUGCCAGCACGUAAUGGUGGGAACUCAUGGGAUACUGCCGGGGUCAACUCGGAGGAAGGUGGGGAUGACGUCAAAUCAUCAUGCCCCUUAUGUCUUGGGCUUCACGCAUGCUACAAUGGCCGGUACAAAGGGCUGCAAUACCGCGAGGUGGAGCGAAUCC
rnacentral:rRNA from 1 species